rfam:Salmo salar isolate Sally breed double haploid chromosome ssa07, whole genome shotgun sequence.
UCAUGUAUGGCUCAGUUGGUAGAGCAUGGCGCUUGCAACGCCAGGAUGGUGGGUUUGAUUGUCAUGUAUGGG